rnacentral:ncRNA from 1 species
AAAGUUAAUUCUAGCUUUUAUAUUUAUCACAUAUUUAUCCGUAUAUAUUAAUUUUUGUAUUAAUUUAAUUAAUUUUAAAAAUUUUGAAAUUAUAGUGUAAUAUUUAAUAUUAAAUAAUAAAGAUAUUUAGAUUUAGUAUAAUAUGAAAUUAUUGACAAAUUUUGUGCCAGCAGUCGCGGUUAUACUUAAAAUAAAUUAAAUAUCUAUUUAUAGUUAAUUAAUAUGUUAAUUAAAAAAAUAAAUAAAAAAUUUAUUAAUAAGGUAAAAUUUAUAAAUAAUUUUAAAUUUAAGAUUUUAUUUUAUUUAUGAAGUUAAUGAAUUAAAUUAAAUUAAACUAGGAUUAGAUACCCUACUAUAAAAAUUAAAAUUUUAACUAUAAGGUAGUGAGAGAUAUAUGCUUGAAACUUAAAGAAUUUGGCAGUAUUUUAAUCUAAAUAGAGGAACCUGUUUAUUAAUUGAUAUUCCACGAUUAAUUUUACUUAAAUUAUUAAAUUUGUAUAUCAUUGUUAUAAAAAUUUUUUUUAGAAAAAAAAAUUUAAUUAUUUUAAAUUAAAUUUAUAUCAAAUCAACAUGCAGUUUAUAUUUAAGAAUUUUAUGGGUUAUCAUAAAAAAAUUUAUGGAAAUUAAAUUGAAAAUAAGAUAUAAAGUAGAUUUAUAAGUAAUUUAAAUAAGUUAAUUUAAAUGAUGUAAGUUCUAAAAUAUGCACAUAUUGCCCGUCAUUUUCAUUUUAAAUUGAAACAAGUCGUAACAUAGUAGAAUUACUGGAAAGUGUUUCUAGAA